GCACGCCUUUAAUCCCAGCACUCGGGAGGCAGAGGCAGGAGGAUUUCUGAGUUCGAGGCCAGCCUGGUCUACAGAGUGAGUUCCAGGACAGCCAGGACUACACAGAGAAACCCUGUCUCAAAAACACACACACANAAAAAAAAAAAAAAAAAAAGAUACAAUUUUAAUUUCAAUAAUAUGCCAAGGUCUCGGUUUACUGAAGAGCUUUAUUGUAGGGUGGGAAUCAUUUUAAAAUCUUUUGCUAAAUGUUUGUUCAAAGACUGACUUGAAACAUAAUAUGGCUUCAGUGUUUAAGGUCUCUGUUUAUCCUUGUGCAGAGAUGUUUAUUUCAAAAUGGCCUGACUUUGUUGUCAAACUGUACCCUUCCAUGAGGCCUGUGAUGGAUUACCCAGACAGCAAGUAAUUAUUAUACAUUUUGAAUCUAACUUUUUGUUGGAGCAGAUGGUGAUAGAACAUGAAUUGUCCAACAUUCUGCUUCUUACUGUCUCUUGCGUAAGCUAAGUUUGUUGCAGAACUUGGAACACACUCAGGAAUCCGUAAGUGGCAGGCAGCAUUUGCCCCGAACGCCACAAGGCUCACCCUGGCACUUAGGUUACCCUUGGGCAGCUUUUUCCAGUCUAAGAAGAUAUCUGUUGGAGUGCUAUGCUAGCUGUUGCCUGCUUUCCGUUUCCUCCCCAGACUGUUUAUGUGGCCUUCCUCCUAGGAGACCCAAAGGGUCGGUCAGGGGGUCGGACAGCUAGCUGCUUUACAGAACUUUGGCUAUGAGAUGCUUCUCUUCCCCGCUGUCUUGUUCUUCUUGCUUGUUAGGGGCUCCACCCUAGCAUUUCCUCUGAGAUGCUGUUCAGGUUUCACAGAGCAGUGGGUCAGGGAUAGGUCUUUGUGGUGUAAGUCAUGCGCCAGUCACAGGGUUCCUUACAGGAAAUGCUCAGUGCUUUGUUCAUUACAGAAAAUAGCACUUGUGCUGAGGGCCUCCCAGGCAGUGCUUUGGGUUAGCAGACUUGUGUACAGUGUUUCUUCCCAGUGUAACGCUUUGACUGUUUCAUACAGUCUCAUCCAGUAUCUGAAGCUAGGGCAUUGUGACACACACUUGUAAUCCGAGCUUUGGAAAGCUGGGGCAGGAGGAUUGCUGUGAGCUCGGAUCCAUCUUGGGCUUCAGUAUGAAACUUUGUCUUAAGGGGGGUGGGGGGAGGGGGGCUGGAGAGGUGGCUCAGAGGUUAAGAGCACUGGCUGCUCUUCCAGAGGUCCUGAAUUCAAUUCCCAGCAACCUCAUGGUGGCUCACAACCAUUUACAAUGGGAUCUGAUGCCCUCUUGUGGUGUGUCUGAAGACAGCCACAGUGUACUCAUACAUGAAGUGAAUAAAUUAAAAAAAAAGAGGGGGAAAAGGGGGCUGGAGAGGUGGCUCAGCAGUUAAGAGCACUGCCUGCUCUUCCAGAGGUCCUGUGUUCAAUUCCCAGCAACCACAAGGUGGCUCACAACCAUCUGUAAUGGGGUCUGAUGCCUUCUUCUGGUGUGUCUGAAGAGAGCAAUGGUGUACUCAUAUACCAAAAGUAAAUAAAUAAAUCUU